GUUUAGGAUUUGGAUUAGAAUUUAGGGUUGGAUUAGGAUUUGGAUUAGGGUUUGGAUUAGGGUUUGGAUUAGGGUUUAAGAUUUGGUUAGGAUUUGAUUUAGGGUUUGGAUUAGGGUUUGGAUUAGGGUUUAAGAUUUGGUUAGGAUUUGAUUUAGGGUUUGGAUUAGAGUUUGGAUUAGAGUUUGAUUUAAGGUUUGGUUUAGGGUUUGAUUUAGGAUUUGGUUUAGGGUUUAGGGUUUGGAAUAGGGUUUAAUUUAAGAUUUAUUUAGGAUUUGACUUAGGAUUUAGGAAUUAUUAGGGUUUAAGAUUUAAUUAGGUUUGGUCUAAAGUUGAGUGAAAUUCAAUAGGGUUUUAACUAGAAUUAAAUUAAGGUUGAAUUGACAUAUAUUUGAGUAAAAUUUGUGAUCAUUCUAAUAUUUUUUUAAGAAUUUUAUUGUUUGUUUGAAAUUUCUUUGAGUUGUUUUGAAUUUGAUUACGUUUGUUUACCAUUAUUAUAGUCUAAUAAGAGCAUUGUUAGUAUUCUAUUUAGGAUUUUGUUAUCGCAAUUUCUAUUCUUCCUUCUAUAGCCAGGUGCCCGGAGCAUUCUCAAGCAAGACUUCACACAUUACAACAACGAAGAAGCAAAAUGAACUACUCUUACACAAUAUGGAAGCUCGUCCUAUUGGAACCACAAUUCCAAAAUCUCAUGCACAUA
rnacentral:lncRNA from 1 species